UACAGAGGGUGCGAGCGUUAAUCGGAAUUACUGGGCGUAAAGCGCGCGUAGGCGGCUUUUCAAGUCGAUUGUGAAAUCCUCGGGCUUAACCUGGGAACUGCAGUCGAGACUGUCUAGCUAGAGUAUGGGAGAGGGAAGUGGAAUUUCAGGUGUAGCGGUGAAAUGCGUAGAUAUCUGAAGGAACAUCAGUGGCGAAAGCGACUUCCUGGACCAAUACUGACGCUCAUGUGCGAAAGCGUGGGGAGCAAACAGG
rnacentral:rRNA from 1 species